rnacentral:rRNA from 1 species
UACGUAGGGACCGAGCGUUGUCCGGAAUCAUUGGGCGUAAAGCGCGCGUAGGCGGCUUUGCAAGUCGGGUGUGAAAUCCCCAGGCUUAACCUGGGAACUGCAUUCGAGACUGCAUUGCUAGAGUAUGGGAGAGGGAAGUGGAAUUUCCGGUGUAGCGGUGAAAUGCGUAGAUAUCGGAAGGAACAUCAGUGGCGCAAGCGACUUCCUGGACCAAUACUGACGCUCAUGUGCGAAAGCGUGGGGAGCAAACAGG